rnacentral:snRNA from 1 species
AGCUUUGUGUGGUGGCAGUAUCGUAGCCAAUGAGGUUUAUCUGAGGCGUGAUUAUUGCUAAUUGAAAAAGGUUUUCAACUUAAAAAC